rnacentral:rRNA from 1 species
AUACAUAGGGGGCAAGCGUUAUCCGGAAUUAUUGGGCGUAAAGCGUGCGUAGGCGGUUUAUUAAGUCUGAUGUUAAAUCCCACAGCUCAACUGUGGGCUGCCUUUGGAAACUGGUAGACUUGAGUGCGGUAGAGGUAAGUGGAAUUCCAAGUGGAGCGGUGGAAUGCGUAGAUAUUUGGAGGAACACCAGUGGCGAAGGCGGCUUACUGGGCCGUUACUGACGCUGAGGCACGAAAGCGUGGGGAGCAAACAGGAUUAGAUACCCUGGUAGUCCACGCCCUAAACGAUGAGUACUAAGUGUUGGAGCAAUUCAGCGCUGAAGUUAACGCAUUAAGUACUCCGCCUGAGUAGUACGUACGCAAGUAUGAAACUCAAAGGAAUUGGCGGGG